rnacentral:rRNA from 1 species
AUGAAAGACCUCGGUGAAGCUGCUUAUAUAUUGGGCAUCAAGAUCAAUAGAGAUAGAUCAAGACGCUUAAUUGGACUUUCACAAAGCACAUACCUUGACAAAGUUUUGAAGAAGUUCAAAAUGGAUCAAGCAAAGAAAGGGUUCUUGCCUGUGUUACAAGGUGUGAAGUUGAGUGAGACUCAAUGUCCGACCACUGCAGAAGAUAGAGAGAAAAUGGAAGAUGUUCCCUAUGCUUCAUCCAUAGGCUCUAUCAUGUAUGCAAUGUUGUGUACCAGACCUGAUGUGUGCCUUGCUAUUAGUUUAGCAGGGAGGUACCAAAGUAAUCCAGGAGUGGAUCACUGGACAAUGGUCAAGAACAUCCUGAAAUACCUGAAAAGGAUGAAGGAUAUGUUUCUUGUUUAUGGAGGUGACAAAGAGCUCGUCGUAAAUGGUUACGUCGAUGCAAGCUUUGACACUGAUCCGGACGAUUCUAAACCGCAAACCGGAUAUGUGUUUUUUAUUAAACGGUGGAGCUGUCAGUUGGUGCAGUUCUAA